rnacentral:tRNA from 1 species
GCCUGGGUGGCUCAGUCAGUUGAGCACCCGACUUCAGCUCAGGUCAUGAUCUCACAGCGGGUGGGUUCAAGCCCCGCAUCAGGUG